CAGGCUGUGAUGAUUGGCGCAGGGGUACGGACCUCAGCUGAGUCAUGGGAGCUGAGUGUACGUGCGUCCCCCUCGUCCUGCACGUGGCAGGUCGGUGGUGAGCACUGACACGAGACAACGCCUCAAUCUGAGCCUG
rnacentral:snoRNA from 15 species